GUAGAGCUUCAUCCUGGUAGUGCCUAACGCAAAGAUGCAGCAUGCUUUCACUUCUGAUCUUCACCCGAGCUGCUUCAGGUUUCACCUGAACAAGCUUCUUGAUGACCUGAAUGUGGCCUUUGAUCACUGCUAGCAGCCAGAUGAAGAGGAGAUGAUCUUCGUGAAUCCAACUCUCUGGCCAUUUCUGGGUUCCGGGUUAAGAUCUCCUUUACAAACUCCACAUGCCCAAGCAUGGCAGCAACAUGCAGAGGUGUCUCCUUGAAACAGCCGGAAACAACUCUGUGAAGAGCAAGUCUAUCUUCUUCAAGCAACCUCAGCAUGGAAGGCAGCAACCUCAGCGAUCUCCAGCCUAGAUGGACCACGACAAUCAUUUCGUACAUGCAACUUGCAAGUAUGCACAAAGAUGUAAUAGCAUUCCACAGAAUCACCUAGAAAAUCCACAUAAACACCCAGCGCUCUAAGCAUCACCUCCAAUUUCUUUUUUUUGGUGGGUACCACUUGCUGUGCGGAAGCUCAAUGGACCCCAGCUAAUUCAAGGUAGCUCUCCCAUUCUUGCAUUUUUACCAUUCAUAAGACUUGUACUCGAUAUUUUACUUAAAGGGAAGAGAUGCCAAACCACUUGAACCGAUCCGCAUUGGUUGCAUCACCUCUACCUCCAUUUUAAUGAUUGACUCUUAUUCAUCUCUGCAUAAUGAAAGGAAAAACCUUGCUUUCUAUCCAUAAAUAAAUACGGAAAUGAGCUUCCUGUAUUCUUGUCUCUUAUUAAUUUGAAGGUCGAGAUUUGGGGAAAACACAUUAGAAGGUCAUGAUGUGUAUGUGAUUGUGAACGGGGUUUUUGGGGUCCUUGAAAGUAUCAAAGAUUGCCUACUUUAAUUGAUUUUCUAGAAGUCAAUGGUGGGUCCUAAAUUCCUAAACGUUGUAAUAAAUCAUUGGCUUUGGAAAAUCAUGAGCGGAUCAGCCAAUUGGUGAAAAUUCUAAAGCGGUGAGCGAGAUGGUCAAUGCAUUGGUGCUGCAGCAUGAAGUGUUCCGGUUUAAAACAUCUUUGGAAUGAAGUAAUUCGAUCCUACCGCAAAGUAAAAACAUUAAAGAGAAAACGGUCCGCCAUAUGUUAAUUCCAUUACGCUUUGUUUGGUUUGAGGGGGAAAAAAGUGGAAGGGAAGGCAUUGUUUAGCUUUGACAUUUUAAAAAAGG